UCUACCAGAACCAAGAAGGAGGGCAGGACAAGGGGCAGGCAGCGCCUCUGUAAUGGGGUCCUGGCCAGAGAAGGGGGCUGAGGGGCAAUCGCGGGGCAGCAGGAGCCGCAGGGCCAGGGAAUAGGGCUGCAGAGGAGCCAGUGUCCGAAGGCGCACAAGGACAGGCUUCCCCGUCCUGUGAGGGAUCAGUGCGUGUCCUGGGGCUGGGACACUGUCCCCCGACCUAUGACGGAGGUGCCCUUCGGCCACUGGCUGCAUCCUCCACUGACCUCCAUAGCCCGCAGGCAUUGCCCCUCCUCACCGCUGCCUUGUCUGGCCUCAUCAGUUCUCAGUUGUAAGUUCCUGAGGCCGACUGCCUCUGAGGCCCGAAGAAGCAGGAAGUGCCUGAAUUUCUCAGGGCCCCUAUGCCGUCUAGCUCACUGAGGACCCCGUGGCCAUUUGGUGACCUGGCACCCUGCCAGGAAAUAGCUGCACCCUGACUCAUGAGGGCCUCCUCAGGGCCCAAAGUGGGAACCAGCCAAGUUGCCUGAUCUCGGGGAAGCCGUCAGUCCCAGAGGCCUGACCAUCUUGUGCUCUUUGCCACGUUUGCGGCAGGGCACACGCGUUCUGAAGGAGGACCCCCACGCUACUCUCAGAGCUCCUUCACAAGGGGGUGCCACCUCAUGGGGGGCAGGAUCCGGUCCUGGAGAUCCAGCCAGACCACUGGGGGCCACAUGCUCCGUCCCCACAAGCUCUCCUUGCCCUGGAGGGGGGAAGUUCACAAAACAUGGAGACCACGCUGGCAGGGCCCAGCUCUGCCCGGGCUUCUCAAGGCAAGGGCGACAGCUGGCAGACGAAUUUCCACGGUGCUCUCUGCACGUCAGGCCGCAUGGGAGAAAUUUCCAUACAUUUUCCUCUAAAAUAAAUCCCCUCAGCCACUCUGCAA